rnacentral:rRNA from 1 species
GACGAACCGUGCAACCGUUGUUCGGAAUCACUGGGCUUAAAGGGCGCGUAGGCGGGCAAGCAAGUCGAAGGUGAAAUCCCACGGCUCAACCGUGGAAGUGCCCCCGAUACUGCUUGUCUUGAGGGAGAUAGGGGCGUGCGGAACUUCCGGUGGAGCGGUGAAAUGCGUAGAUAUCGAGAGGAACACCUGCGGCGAAGGCGGGUUGCUGGGCUGAUACUGACGCUGAGGCGCGAAAGCCAGGGGAGCGAACGGG